rnacentral:rRNA from 1 species
CGGCUACUGCCUUACCAUGCAGUCGGACGGCAGCGCGGGGGCAACCCUGGCGGCGAGUGGCGAACGGGUGAGUAAUACAUCGGAACGUGUCCUGGAGUGGGGGAUAGCCCGGCGAAAGCCGGAUUAAUACCGCAUACGCUCUGUGGAGGAAAGCGGGGGAUCUUCGGACCUCGCGCUCAAGGGGCGGCCGAUGGCAGAUUAGCUAGUUGGUGGGGUAAAGGCCUACCAAGGCGACGAUCUGUAGCUGGUCUGAGAGGACGACCAGCCACACUGGGACUGAGACACGGCCCAGACUCCUACGGGAGGCAGCAGUGGGGAAUUUUGGACAAUGGGGGCAACCCUGAUCCAGCAAUGCCGCGUGUGUGAAGAAGGCCUUCGGGUUGUAAAGCACUUUUGUCCGGAAAGAAAACCGCUUCUCUAAUACAGGGGCGGGAUGACGGUACCGGAAGAAUAAGCACCGGCUAACUACGUGCCAGCAGCCGCGGUAAUACGUAGGGUGCAAGCGUUAAUCGGAAUUACUGGGCGUAAAGCGUGCGCAGGCGGUUCGCUAAGACCGAUGUGAAAUCCCCGGGCUUAACCUGGGAACUGCAUUGGUGACUGGCGGUCUAGAGUAUGGCAGAGGGGGGUAGAAUUCCACGUGUAGCAGUGAAAUGCGUACAGAUGUGGAGGAAUACCGAUGGCGAAGGCAGCCCCGUGGGCCAAUACUGACGCUCAGGCACAAAAGCGUGGUGGGCAAACGGGGUUAGAUACCCCGGGAGUC